rnacentral:rRNA from 1 species
CGGGUGAGUAACACGUAUCCAACCUGCCGAUAACUCGGGGAUAGCCUUUCGAAAGAAAGAUUAAUAUCCGAUAGUAUAUUAAAACCGCAUGGUUUUACUAUUAAAGAAUUUCGGUUAUCGAUGGGGAUGCGUUCCAUUAGUUUGUUGGCGGGGUAACGGCCCACCAAGACUACGAUGGAUAGGGGUUCUGAGAGGAAGGUCCCCCACAUUGGAACUGAGACACGGUCCAAACUCCUACGGGAGGCAGCAGUGAGGAAUAUUGGUCAAUGGACGAGAGUCUGAACCAGCCAAGUAGCGUGAAGGAUGACUGCCCUAUGGGUUGUAAACUUCUUUUAUAUGGGAAUAAAGUAUUCCACGUGUGGGAUUUUGUAUGUACCAUAUGAAUAAGGAUCGGCUAACUCCGUGCCAGCAGCCGCGGUAAUACGGAGGAUCCGAGCGUUAUCCGGAUUUAUUGGGUUUAAAGGGAGCGUAGGUGGAUUGUUAAGUCAGUUGUGAAAGUUUGCGGCUCAACCGUAAAAUUGCAGUUGAAACUGGCAGUCUUGAGUACAGUAGAGGUGGGCGGAAUUCGUGGUGUAGCGGUGAAAUGCUUAGAUAUCACGAAGAACUCCGAUUGCGAAGGCAGCUCACUAGACUGCAACUGACACUGAUGCUCGAAAGUGUGGGUAUCAAACAGGAUUAGAUACCCUGGUAGUCCACACAGUAAACGAUGAAUACUCGCUGUUUGCGAUAUACAGUAAGCGGCCAAGCGAAAGCAUUAAGUAUUCCACCUGGGGAGUAC